UCAUUCAUAGUCCAUAGAUCUCAGAAGUUCUGAUCUCUCAUCUCUGGAAGACUCAUCUCGAAGACUCGACUCUCAUCUCUCACCUCUCGCCCCAAAUCGAUCUCUCUGCUCUCAUCUCUCAGUCUCAGACCAGAUCUUAGAUCUUUAUUCUUUCAUCUAUCACCCCUGCCCUGACCCUCGUAUCUCUCACUCUCUGCCCUAUUGCAUUUGCCCUAACCCAAAAGCCAGCCAAAGGCCCAAAACUCCAGUCCGGCAGUCCGCUCCGCCUCCGGACGGACCUCCUCCGAUCUCCUCCGACGGUCUUAUAUCUCCGAAGUCCGAGGUAUCUACUUAUAUACUUCUUGUGAAUAGUUAUAGAACCAGAAGUAUGUGGUAUAGAAACUUGAAAAUUAAUGACCUCUGUUACUGGCCUGCAUGUUGAUGACCUGCUUCUCCUGUGCUGUAGUUAUGGUCUUAUGGAAUUAUGAUUGCUGUUGCGUUUCUUCACUGCUUCCGGCUUCUGCUGUUCUGUUGUUAUACUUGUGCUUCACCGCUAGCCUUCAGUGUCUACUGCCUAGAAUUUGUGAAAUUAUGGAUUAUGUACUGAAAAUUUGAAUCGCUUGGGCUUUGCUGGCUACAUGUUGUUGACAGUUAUACAUUUGAUUCAGUUGAUUGCUUACAAACUAUUAAAUUCGGUUAUUAUCCAAAUAACCAAAUAACUAAUUCGGUUAUUCGAUUAUCGUAUAUUUCGGUUAGUAUUUCAGAUACCUAAAACAGUUGAAUGCUUUCGGUUAUAACCGAAAAGCUAAUUCGGUUCGGAUAAUAACCGAAUGCUCACCCCACUGUAGAGGUGACAGAUAAGUUGAUUAAAUUAAUAAUAAAUAAUGGGUCGGAUAACUAAUGAAUAAUGUUUGAUGAGUUAUAAAUAGGUAUAUUUUAUGAAUAAAACUCAUCAAGUCACAUAUAACCGAGACAAGUAUAAGAAAUAAAUCAAAUUCCAAGAAUUUUAUGCCUCCACAUCAGCGCAAUGCACUCCUCACCAGGAGAGCAAAUCAUCAAAUAGAUUUCAUUAUUAUAAAAUUAAUUUCAUAAUAAAUUAGUUAAUUGAUGCUUAUACUCUCCUCUCAGCUUGCGUAUUAACAUUGUAUUGAUGAAUUACCAAAGUUAACUUCAAUUAUUUCACUUUACCCAAUUAAUUUAAUGACUUAUGAAUUUAUCUAUCUAAUUUAUUUAUUGUUAUUCAUUUAAUUUAAUUUAUUUAAAAAUUUAUUAAAAUAAAUAAAUAAUUUAUCUAUGGGGGAAUGAUCCAUAACAUCUAUUUGUUAUGGAUCACUUUUGCAUAUAUCAUCUAUACCGUCCGUUAGAUGUUAUGGAUCAAAAAGUGGCAUAUAUCAUCUAUACCGUCCGUGUAAUUAAUGAAUGGUUAAGAUCUGUUAUGUUAUGGGAACACGCUAGUAUUAUUAGCUGACGUGGUUAUACUAAAAUUAAGACCCUUAUGCCCCCAUUUAUCAGCCGAAGUCAUUAAUUAGCGGAAGGAUAUUGGAAAAGGUAACAAAGGUAAUACGCUUCUGCGAAUUGGGUAAAUUGGUUAGAACCCUAGAACAGAAAAUUCAGCAAAUCGGCGAAUGCUACAGUCUAAAUCGGCGAAUGCUACAGUCUGCGAAUUGGGUAAGGUAACAAAGGUAAUACGCUACAGUCUGCGAAUUGGGUAAAUUGGCUAGAACCCUAGAAGCAAAAUACAGCUAAUUGGCGAAUUGGGUAAUUGGUUAGAACCCUAGAAGCAAAAUACAGCAAAUCGGCAACGAGUUUGGCAUAUUUAAUCGGUAAGUUUGUUAUUAAACCUCCAAAAUCUGAAGGUGAUGCGAUUCUCCAUUAAUUCUUGGUCGAAACUAUACUAUGAAUCUCUGAUGCUAUUUUUGGUUCGGCAUAUAGGAUAUUUUUGGUUCGGCAUAUAGGAGGUCAGGAGCUUCUAGAAACUAAAUUGUAGCUGUAAUUGGCAUUGAAACUUCAACAAAGCACUAAUAAACAGGAAAAUCACAGCAAAUCAUAGGUAUGUUAUGAGUUUAUUUUAGAUUUUCGUAAAAUUGGUUCAAUACUAGAAUUUUAGGGUUAUAGUUGCACUAUACGUGGACUGUUGAUUGGGAUAUAUAUAGUGGGGGACUAGUUGUUUUGUGGAGUAAUAAGGGAGAGAAAUACAUGGCUUGAAACAUUUAUCUAUAUUAAUGAUAUAUGUUUUUUUUAGAAUGCACAUAAGAUGUUUGUAAAAGUGUCUCUUUGUGGAGUAAUAUCUCUGUUUUUUUUCAAUUUUGUACUUGCAGCUAUGAAGUUUCAUAUACAUUCUAGAUUGUUCAAAUUGUUUUACCAUCUCUAGUGAAGAACGGAGUGCAACUGAACAUAGAUGAAAUCAUCGGCAAAUAUUUACCAAUACUAAAACAAACGUUUGAUAUCACGAGUGGUGUAUCAUGUUUUAAAACUGCAGUGCUAGGCAAUCAAUGAACAAAAGAGCUGCAUAAUGAUAUUUGGAUGAUAUAAUGGAAAGACCCAAAAAAAAUAUGACAGUUGGGUUAAGAGCCUCACCUGUAAUGAAAUAUAUUCAAAGUUAAAAAAGUCAUCGAUGAUGUUGGUUCAUUUUACAAUAUACAGAUACCAGUGACUAGACCCAGAUUUGACCAUUAGAUCUGCAUUAAUCCCCUUCUCCUGUUCUGUUUAGUUUUCCCAACUAGUGUAAUCACCUUCUUUUUCUACUAUAUGAAUAGAGCUGAAUGCUUACUCUGGAACUGAAUCCGGUUUAGAAGAUGAACUAUUCUCUGCGUCUUCUCUUCUCUGCACUUGGUUAGCGGAAUUAAACAUAUCAGUUUCUUAUUCUGUUGAUGACGGUUAAUAAGUUUUGUUUGAUGAAGUAACUACUAAUUUUUUUCAUCUAUAUAUCUGAUUAAAUUCAUUUCAUAAAUUCACAGGUAUCAUUUUGUUCAUUUCCUACCUUUUUGGUUGAGAGAUUGUUCAGCAGUUCCAACAAAUCUUUUGACUCUAAAUUUGAUUGCUUCCAUACGAAUGAUAUUUGUAAACUAUUUCCAUAUUUCAAUUAGCAGCUAAAUGGGGGCAUAAGUGUCCUAAUUUUAGUAUAACCACGUCCGCUAGUAAUACUAGCGGACGGCGUGUCCCCAUAACAGAUCUCAACCAUUCAUUAAUUACACGGACGGUAUAGAUGUUAUAUGCCACUUUUUGAUCCAUAGCAAAUAGAUGCUAUGGAUCAUUCCCCUUUAUCUAUUUAAUUAUAAAUUUGUUGACACGUUAACGGUUAAUGGGCCUCUACAUCGGUCUAACGCUCAACUUGAUUUUUAGAUAUAAAAAAAAUUGAUAUUGUUUUUAAUAUUUUCAUUCAUUUAUUCCAAUCUCCACAUGAGCGAAAAGUAAAACUGAUCUCCAAGUUUUCUUCUUCUUUCUCUCCCUUUUCACCUCUCCCUCUCCUUAUGAACUCGAGAAAUCAAACCCAAUCUUCUUCCCACCCAAGCCCUAGUUGCAGAAAGGAUAAAAAAAAGAAAGUUGUGCCGCAUUAAUCACGACAUCGAUCGAGGUAAUUACGGAUAGUGGAAACCAAGAGAAAAAGAAGAAAAACAAAGCUGCCUUCAAAUUAUUCUGCCGUCGACCAAGCUGGUAUUACCCUUUACAUUUGAACUGAUACAACACAAUUUGAGAAAAUUUAAAGUCCCCAAUCCUUCUUGUUACUUCACUCAUUCUCUGAUUUGUGUGAUUUAUUGUAGUAGAACUGUUUCGCUUCACUUAUUACUCAAUUUUGAGUUACAAUGUACUUAUAUACAAAUGAGGAGUUUAUGAAUAUGGCAUCUAAAUUAUGUUUUGUGAUUUAUGGGUGGACUUUAUGUAUAAAUUGGAGAUGAUAUAGUGUGUAUAUUGUUUAUAUGGAUCGGGUUCAAUUUUGUACUCCCUCUGUCCUCAAAAACAUGUCUUCAAGUACAAUUUUUUUGUUACACAAAUCAAAUAUAAAACAUGUAUAAAGACUAGUUUACCCAAAAAAUAUACUUAAAUGAGGUCUACUACCUUUAGAGAAGACAGAGGUCCACUAUAAGUAAAAGUGGUACUUAUUUUAAUAUCUUUCAUCUACUUUAGUGUUCUUAAUUUAUGUGAAAUAUGUAUUUUGGACAUCCUUUUGAUGUUGGAGGGGAGUAAGUUUUAUUUUUAGUUAGAUUUUUUUUUAUAAAUUUUGAUGAUAAAUGAGUUUCUAUUGAAAAGAUAUUUUUACCCUUUUUUGUAUAGAACUAUUGUUUUACACUUCUUGUCGACAAUAAAGCUGAAUAUAAGAUUAUCUGAUGAUAGUACCCUUUUUGUGGUGCACAUAUAUCUCUAGUCAAAAUUAGUCCAAAGGGACAGUUUUGCACGAAAUUGAAAGUUUACCUUUGACAUUGUAAAAAUUAAAAUUUUAACGUCUAUAUAAGUAUAUUGCAAAUUUGUAUUAACAUGAGAGAGCAAUUUUGUGGUUUGCUGAUUUGCUCUUAGUUAAAGGAUUAGUUGGAGUAAGCUGCAUGACAAAGAAACUGUAGAAAGACCGUAAGGGCAACAAUAAAUAAAAGAGAAAAUAUGUAAAUAAAUUCUAUAUUACAAAGAAAAUGUAGAAAGACCGUACAGGCAACAAAAAAUAUAUAAAAGAGAAAAAGAAGAAAACAGUAUCUCUAUCUAACUUCAAAUUUCCCUUUUUAUGUUUCACCCGUUUGAAAAACUAUGGUGACUACAAAAGUUUAUGAGUAUUUAAUGGUUUUUUAUUGUCUUUUUAUAAUAGAUUUUUGGGUAUUUUUUUAACGGUUAUUUUUUGAUCUCUUAAUCAUGUAGUCUUUUUUAAGUUUUUCAUUCAUACUUUUUUCUCCCACUCUUAUUUCCAGUUCUCUUUUCCUGAUACUUACAUGCCUUCAAAAUUUUCUCCAUCAAUUUUUUAAUAAAUAAUUUUACUCUGUUACAUA
rnacentral:lncRNA from 1 species